ensembl:lncRNA
GUGUUAGCUGGGGCUGAGGCAAAACUGUGACACCAAUCAAGACUGGAAAUUCCCACCCCCGCUUUAAAGCAACAUCAGAUUUUCAACGUUAUAUCCACUAUCAGCAAUAAAACAAUAGGCUGGGCAGAUCUCCUCCUGGAGAAUUGAUCUAUCUUUGGUUUCCCAUCCAAGGUGUUAACCAAGCCCAGCCCAGCGGUUGUACGAAGACUCAAAGCGUUUGAGGCGAAGGCUUGACUCAGGAGAAUGAAGAUGGACUACGCACUGUUGUACCCGGCCACAUUGAAGAUUAUGGUCAACGGAUCACCUAAAAAGCUCUACACACCUGAAGAGGCUGCUGCGUUUAUUGACACUCUCGGGUGGUCGAGAAAUAUCGACUCCCAAAGCAGGACUUUUUCCGCUUCCUACAAGCCACACCCUUCUGCUGCUAUUGGCUGGCAGGGACACUGUUGUUGUUUGCCCUGCUGAUGUGACUCCUUUCUCCCGGACGUGAUGGGGAUGCUGAUAUUCCAGUUCCCAACCUGAGCCUGGCACUCCCGACAGCUGACAAUAGGUUACAAGUGUUACCUCACGACAGGUGCAACACACAUCACAACAGGUGUGUUACCUAGGAAUAUGGUUUAUUCCUAGAUACGCCUUGCAUUGCUUGGCUGAUGGGAAAUGACACACACACACACACGACUUCCUCCUGAGAGAUGACGGACAUGGGCACAUGAGGAGUGGACACAGCUCUACGAGAGACACCGGAUUAUUUUAUGGUUGGACAGUGAGUUUUGAAUUUUAUUGACUUUACAACCUUUGAUGCAAGGAAGAGUGUAAUAAUUCAAAGUGAUGUAGCAGUAUAUUAGGCCCUACGUAGUAUAUACUUUCCUGCAGUCAAAUGACAAUCGCCCUCUAGUGGCCUCAUGAGUGGAAUGUUAUUAAUAUUUUUCAGAAUUAAACUUUUUUUUUUAUGCCAAAUUUGCUGUCAAAUGGUUGUUACAUUUCAGUCUUCUGUGAUGUAUAUGAAGUGUAAUAUUGGGAUGCAAACUCAAUGUAAUGCAUUUCAACUCUGUCUGACAUGGUACAGGUGUCUUAUUUUUUUCUAAUUCCAUAACCAUAUGUGUGAAGUUUAUACUUUUGAUUUAAAGCAGAUUUGUGCAGUACUAUAACGAAACACACUGUGACCCUGAUUUAGCCCACUGCAGUAUAAGGUUCAUGUUCAACAUAAUUAAAUAAGUGUAGGUUUUAAAAUGUCCUUAUUCAUUGAGGUGAGAGAAUUAGAAAUGUCAAGAUGUUUUGUAAUAAAUAAUUGAUGUGUAAUAUAAUUGGGAAAUAAUCAACAGUGCUCACUGUGAAAUCCUCAUUUCAAGCUCUGAGCUGCUUUCUGAGAGCUACUGUUCCUGACUCGUCCUCAAUCGGACUGUCACUAACAUUAAAAAAAGAACAAACUAGUUAUGUGAAAAGUCCUCCUCUCGUUUUGUCAAGUUGCCUCAACUGUGAAGCCAAGUCUUUAGGAGUCAGUUUCUUCCUGAUGCAAGUCAGACACCUUUUAUCUAGGCAUUGUACACAUGUUUUGAUACUGGGUAUUAAGGUAUUGUGUCAGGGUUUGGGUGUGUGUGUGUGUGUGUGUGUGUGUGUGUGUGUGUGUGUGUGUGACUGAAAGAAUAGGACACACACUGCAAGUCAGGCUGGGCUGAACUCAACUUGGUGGGGGGGGCUGGUCUUUUUCCCUUCCAGAGAAUCAACCACUACAUACACCACGACAGGGUGUAUGUACACAGUGACUCAGUUGAUUUCCCUCCUGGGCAGGUACAUUCCAGCUCACCUGAAGAGUCUUAUUGGAGUUCAUCACAUCUUAGAAUCUUAAUCAACUGGAGUUCCAUCCUGUUUCCCCUGCAAGUUACAGGAUGAGGCAGCUAACAAUAGAACCUUGCCCCCCCUUCCCCUGUGUUAAGCUUUAAAUUUCACCUGUCUAGAGCCAAUUUGAUUUCAGUCUUUGAGGUGUUUUUUUACUGAUUCUGUGUUUGGUAAUGAUGUUUGUCCC